UUCAUUAGGACUUUCAAUAAAAUUAGAACGAUACAGAGAAAAUUAGUAUCGCAUAUCCAUAAGAAUGACACAAAAAUCAAGAAAUAUAUCCAUUAUUG